UUCCGGUUGAUCCYGCCGGAGGCCACUGCUAUGGGGGUCCGACUAAGCCAUGCGAGUCAUGGGGCGCCUUGCGCGCACCGGCGGACGGCUCAGUAACACGUCGGUAACCUACCCUCGGGAGGGGGAUAACCCCGGGAAACUGGGGCUAAUCCCCCAUAGGCCUGAGGUACUGGAAGGUCCUCAGGCCGAAAGGGGCUUUUGCCCGCCCGAGGAUGGGCCGGCGGCCGAUUAGGUAGUUGGUGGGGUAACGGCCCACCAAGCCGAAGAUCGGUACGGGCCAUGAGAGUGGGAGCCCGGAGAUGGACACUGAGACACGGGUCCAGGCCCUACGGGGCGCAGCAGGCGCGAAACCUCCGCAAUGCGGGAAACCGCGACGGGGGGACCCCCAGUGCCGUGGCAUCGCCACGGCUUUUCCGGAGUGUAAAAAGCUCCGGGAAUAAGGGCUGGGCAAGGCCGGUGGCAGCCGCCGCGGUAA
rnacentral:rRNA from 1 species